rnacentral:rRNA from 1 species
UACGUAGGGUGCAGGCGUUAAUCGGAAUUAUUGGGCGUAAAGCGCGCGUAGGCGGCUACCUAAGUCGGAUGUGAAAGCCCCUGGCUUAACUGGGGAAGUGCACCCGAAACUGAGUAGCUAGAGUGCGAAAGGGGGUCGCGGAAUUCCCGGUGUAGAGGUGAAAUUCGUAGAUAUCGGGAGGAACACCGGUGGCGAAGGCGGCGACCUGGGUCGACACUGACGCUGAGGCGCGAAAGCGUGGGGAGCAAACAGG